rnacentral:rRNA from 1 species
UACGGAGGGUGCGAGCGUUGUCCGGAAUUAUUGGGCGUAAAGAGCUCGUAGGCGGUGUGUCGCGUCGGCCGUGAAAACCUGGGGCUCAACUCUGGGCGUGCGGUCGAUACGGGCAUCACUUGAGUUCGGCAGGGGAGACUGGAAUUCCUGGUGUAGCGGUGAAAUGCGCAGAUAUCAGGAGGAACACCGGUGGCGAAGGCGGGUCUCUGGGCCGAUACUGACGCUGAGGAGCGAAAGCAUGGGUAGCGAACAGG